rnacentral:misc_RNA from 1 species
UAACCGUAAGUGAACCUGCGGAAGGAUCAUUAUUGAAAUAAACCUGAUGGGUUGUUGCUGGUUCUCUAGGGAGCAUGUGCACACCUUGUCAUCUUUAUAUCUCCACCUGUGCACCUUUUGUAGACCUUUCAGGUCUAUGUUGCUUCAUUUACCCCAAUGUAUGUUAAUAGAAUGUUGUGCCUAUAUAAUAUAUACAACUUUCAGCAACGGAUCUCUUGGCUCUC